rnacentral:rRNA from 1 species
AGAAUCAACGCUGGCGGCGUGCCUAACACAUGCAAGUCGCACGAGAAAGGGGAGCAAUCCCUGAGUAAAGUGGCGCACGGGUGAGUAACACGUGAAUCAUCUACCUUCGAGUGGGGAAUAACUGGAAGAAAUUUCAGCUAAUACCGCAUAAUACCUACGGGUCAAAGCAGCAAUGCGCUUGAAGAGGAGUUCGCGGCAGAUUAGUUAGUUGGCGGGGUAAUGGCCCACCAAGACGAUGAUCUGUA